AUUGAACGCUGGCGGCAGGCCUAACACAUGCAAGUCGAGCGAGCGGCGGACGGGUGAGUAAUGUCUGGGAAACUGCCUGAUGGAGGGGGAUAACUACUGGAAACGGUAGCUAAUACCGCAUACCAUCGGAUGUGCCCAGAUGGGAUUAGCUAGUAGGUGGGGUAACGGCUCACCUAGGCGACGAUCCCUAGCUGGUCUGAGAGGAUGACCAGACACACGGGAACUGAGACACGGGCCAGACCCCCACGGGAGGCAGAAGUGGGGAAUUUUGCACAAUGGGGGCAAGGCUGAUGCAGCCAGGCCGGGUGUAAGAAGAAGGCCUUCGGGUUGGAAAGUAAUUUCAGCGGGGAGGCGGUACCCGAAGAAGAAGGACCGGCUAACUCCGUGCCAGCAGCCGCGGUAAUAA
rnacentral:rRNA from 1 species